rnacentral:rRNA from 1 species
CCUACGGGAGGCAGCAGUGAGGAAUAUUGGUCAAUGGGCGAGAGCCUGAACCAGCCAAGUCGCGUGAAGGAUGACGGCCCUAUGGGUUGUAAACUUCUUUUGCAGGGGGAUAAAGAUAUUCACGUGUGGGUAGUUGUAUGUACCCUGCGAAUAAGCAUCGGCUAACUCCGUGCCAGCAGCCGCGGUAAUACGGAGGAUGCGAGCGUUAUCCGGAUUUAUUGGGUUUAAAGGGUGCGUAGGUGGACUAUUAAGUCAGUGGUGAAAGUUUGUCGCUCAACGAUAAAAUUGCCGUUGAAACUGGUGGUCUUGAGUAUGGAUGAAGUAGGCGGAAUGCGUGGUGUAGCGGUGAAAUGCAUAGAGAUCACGCAGAACUCCGAUUGCGAAGGCAGCUUACUAAGGCAUAACUGACACUGAAGCACGAAAGCGUGGGUAUCAAACAGGAUUAGAUACCCUGGUAGUCCACGCAGUAAACGAUGAUUACUAGGAGUUUGCGAUAUAGUGUAAGCUCUACAGCGAAAGCGUUAAGUAAUCCACCUGGGGAGUACGCCGGCAACGGUGAAACUCAAAGGAAUUGACGG